rnacentral:lncRNA from 1 species
CUCUGACGACUCAGCCUAACACACAUCACCACCGCCACCACUCCUCAGACUUCCAGGGUCUUCCUGAUUCUGACACCACAGCCAUGCCAGCUGAGACCCCAGACAUAAAAAUGGGCCCAGGUGCACAACGUGGAGCAGAGAUGAGCUUUCCCAACUGAGCCCAGACCAAAUUGCUGACCCCCAGAAUGGCAUGGUGACUGAGCUCCAAAAGGAAGCAUCCAAGAGGGAAAUUCCAGAGAGAGAAUGGAAGCUGGAAGAAACAGCAGGAAGCUUCGUGGUCUUUUGUGACCUCACCUCCGAAGUCACAAAGCAUUAUUUCUACCAUAAUUUGUUGUUCAAAACAUUCACUCCAAUUCAAGAGAAGAGGACAUAGACCAUUACUCAGUGGAUAAAUGAUAGAGAAAACAUCCUUGUUUAUUUUAUCAAGUUCAUCAGCUUCUAAGAUUGUGUUACAGAAUGACAACAAAGCUGUCACUAAGAAAAUAAUCCUAGCCAAUUUACUUCAGAUGAUUCAACCUACAGUGUUAUCUGUAUCCCAUGGUACCACCAUGGGAGCCGAAGCAGCAGUUUUACACGGAAGGAGGACAAUUAUUUCAGUGGUGAAGUAAACCUGCUUAGAAGGCUCAGCAAGCAUUUUACAGCUUCCCUUUAUCACAGGAUACUGAUAAAAGAUAAGCUGAAACUGCCUUUCAAAUUAGCAAAUAGCACAGAACAUUUAAGUAUGCACUUGGUGGAGAAUGCUCAGAGAUUCUUCCGGGACACCAGACACAAAUUAAUGGCUUUAAGUCACACACUUUGUAUGGAUAGGAAAAGUAACUUCCUAAGUUUCCAUGGGGAAAAAUAAAAGGAUCACAGUUUGAUAUGGAAGCAUGACACCUAUGGCUGUAAAUUGAUGUCAUUGACAAUGAAUAAUCAGAAUAACAUACAGAAUGAUUUGCUUCAAGACCAGCCAUCCAAACAUAUUCCUAAAGUGAUUGUAUCAGUUUCCUAGAGCUGCCAUAAUGAAUUGCCACAAACUCGGUGGCUUGGAACACCAGAAAUGUAUUCGCUUGCCAUUCUGGAGUCCAUAAAUAUGAAAUCAAG